AUGACUCUCGGCAACGGAUAUCUCGGCUCUUGCAUCGAUGAAGAACGUAGCGAAAUGCGAUACUUGGUGUGAAUUGCAGAAUCCCGUGAACCAUCGAGUCUUUGAACGCAAGUUGCGCCCGAAGCCACCAGGCUGAGGGCACGCCUGCCUGGGCGUCGC
rnacentral:rRNA from 1 species